GCCGACAUAGCUCAGCCGGUAGAGCAGCGCUUUCGUAAAGCGCAGGUCGUCGGUUCAAGUCCGACUGUCGGCU
rnacentral:tRNA from 1 species